rnacentral:misc_RNA from 1 species
AACUUUUAACAAUGGAUCUCUUGGCUCUCGCAUCGAUGAAGAACGCAGCGAAAUGCGAUAAGUAAUGUGAAUAGCAGAAUUCAGUGUAUCAUCGAAUCUUUGAACGCACCUUGCGCCCUUUGGCUAUUCCGAAGGGCAUGCCUGUUUGAGUACCAUGAAGACCUCAACUCUCAUGGCUUGCCAUGAUGGGCUUGGACUGUGGGGGUCUUGAUGGCCUGUGGGUCAGCUCCUCUAAAAUGAAUUAGCUUGCCGGUGUUUGGUGGCAUCACAGGUGUGAUAACUAUCUACGCUUGUGGUUUUCCACCAGGUAACCUUCAGCAAUGGAGGUUCGCUGGAGCUCAUAAAUGUCUCUCCUCGGUGAGGACAGAUCUUGACCGUUUGAUCUCAAAUCAGGUAGGACUACCCGCUGAACUUAAGCAUAUCAAUAAGCGGAGGCU